rnacentral:piRNA from 1 species
ACUGAAUCUAUGGAGCUUCCUGUAUGACC